rnacentral:tRNA from 1 species
ACUGGAAUAGUUCAGUUGGUUAGAGCGUGUGGCUGUUAACCGCAAGGUCGAAGGUUCGACCCCUUCUUCUAGCG